GCAGCAAAGUUUGAAAGUGGAAUUUCCCUAGAAUGUGAAUGCAUAAUGAUAAACAUAAGCGACUAGCAGCAGUGGGUCGUCUCAUGAACAAAUCGCUCUCUGUAAGGUGAUGUUCCUUUUGGAAGUUAAUCCCCCUCCAUAAGAUGACAUACGGGAAGGGCUAUCAACCAAAGCACCCAACAUUCUCUGGACCAAGGAAUGGACACAUGGCCCCAAAAAAAUACUGAAAUUGUGGGGUCGCUUACCUGGCUUACCUGUUCCUCUCACAAAGACAGUGUGAGGAAAUGGCUGCACAGAGAGGUAGAAUCAUCAAGUCGAGAAUCAAACUCAGGCUGUCUGGCUCCAGAGUGGGCGCUCAAUAAAAGUUUGUUGAAUUCUAUUAAAACCCAAACUGGAAAAACUGAUUUAGAAAUCCGAAGUUCCUUUCUUCCAGAUAGUG